rnacentral:rRNA from 1 species
UACGAAGGGUGCAAGCGUUACUCGGAAUUACUGGGCGUAAAGGGUGCGUAGGCGGUCGUUUAAGUCCGUUGUGAAAUCCCUGGGCUCAACCUGGGAAUGGCAGUGGAUACUGGACGGCUAGAAUGCGGUAGAGGGUAGUGGAAUUCCCGGUGUAGCAGUGAAAUGCGUAGAGAUCGGGAGGAACACCAGUGGCGAAGGCGGCUUCCUGGGCCAGCAUUGACGCUGAAGCGCGAAAGCGUGGGGAGCAAACAGG